rnacentral:tRNA from 1 species
AGUCUCGUAGCUCAGCUGGUUAGAGUACUUACACUGAUAAUGUAGGGGUCGGCAGUUCGAGUCUGCCCGGGACUAC